GUAGGUGGCAAGCGUUGUCCGGAAUUAUUGGGCGUAAAGCGCGCACAGGCGGUUCUUUAAGUCUGAUGUGAAAGCCCACGGGCUCAACCGUGAGGGUCAUUGGAAACUGGAGAACUUGAGUACAGAAGAGGAAAGCGGAAUUCCACGUGUAGCGGUGAAAUGCGUAGAGAUGUGGAGGAACACCAGUGGCGAAGGCGGCUUUCUGGUCUGUAACUGACGCUGAGGCGCGAAAGCGUGGGGAGCAAACAGGAUUAGAUACCCUGGUAGUCCACGCCGUAAACGAUGAGUGCUAAGUGUUAGGGGGUUUCCGCCCCUUAGUGCUGCAGCUAACGCAUUAAGCACUCCGCCUGGGGAGUACGGCCGCAAGGCUG
rnacentral:rRNA from 1 species